rnacentral:rRNA from 1 species
UCCAGACUCCUACGGGAGGCAGCAGUGGGGAAUAUUGCACAAUGGGCGAAAGCCUGAUGCAGCAACGCCGCGUGAAGGAAGAAGGCCUUCGGGUCGUAAACUUCUGUCCUUGGGGAAGAAGAACUGACGGUACCCAAGGAGGAAGCCCCGGCUAACUCCGUGCCAGCAGCCGCGGUAAUACGGAGGGUGCGAGCGUUAAUCGGAAUUACUGGGCGUAAAGCGCUCGUAGGCGGUAUGUCAAGUCAAGGGUGAAAUCCCCGCGCUCAACGUGGGAACUGCCUUUGAAACUGGCAAACUGGAGUGUGUGAGAGGAUAGUGGAAUUCCAGGUGUAGGAGUGAAAUCCGUAGAUAUCUGGAGGAACAUCAGUGGCGAAGGCGACUAUCUGGCACAUAACUGACGCUGAGGAGCGAAAGCGUGGGUAGCAAACAGGAUUAGAUACCCUAGUA